rnacentral:sRNA from 1 species
GAGGUGGGGUAGGCGGGCAAGGCGGGCGCCGAGGUUUGCAAGGGCUCGCGGCGGCCAGAAACCCGGCUCCGAGCGGCGGCGGCCCGGCUUCCGCUGCCCGUGAGCUAAGGACGGUCCGCUCCCUCUCGCCAGCUCCGAAUCCUGAUCCAGGCGGGGGCCAGAGGCCCCUCGCCUCCCCUCUGAGGACCGAAGAUGAGCUUCCUCUUCAGCCGCUCUUCUAAAACAUUCAAACCAAAGAAGAAUAUCCCUGAAGGAUCUCAUCAGUACGAACUCUUAAAACAUGCAGAAGCAACUCUAGGAAGUGGGAAUCUGAGACAAGCUGUUAUGUUGCCUGAGGGAGAGGAUCUCAAUGAAUGGAUUGCUGUAAACACUGUGGAUUUCUUUAACCAGAUCAACAUGUUAUAUGGAACUAUUACAGAAUUCUGCACUGAAGCAAGCUGUCCAGUCAUGUCUGCAGGUCCGAGAUAUGAAUAUCAUUGGGCAGAUGGUACUAAUAUUAAAAAGCCAAUCAAAUGUUCUGCACCAAAAUACAUUGACUAUUUGAUGACUUGGGUUCAGGAUCAGCUUGAUGAUGAAACUCUUUUUCCUUCUAAGAUUGGUGUCCCAUUUCCCAAAAACUUUAUGUCUGUGGCAAAGACUAUUCUAAAGCGUCUGUUCAGGGUUUAUGCCCAUAUUUAUCACCAGCACUUUGAUUCUGUGAUGCAGCUGCAAGAGGAGGCCCACCUCAACACCUCCUUUAAGCACUUUAUUUUCUUUGUUCAGGUAAGUUGAUCCAUGUCGAUUU